rnacentral:rRNA from 1 species
CAGCAUCAUCAAAGCUUGCUUUGAUGGAUGGCGACCGGCGCACGGGUGAGUAACACGUAUCCAACCUGCCGACAACACUGGGAUAGCCUUUCGAAAGAAAGAUUAAUACCCGAUGGCAUAAUUCUUCCGCAUGGUAGAAUUAUUAAAGAAUUUCGGUCAUCGAUGGGGAUGCGUUCCAUUAGGUUGUUGGCGGGGUAACGGCCCACCGAGGCGACGAUGCGUAGGGGUUCUGAGAGGAAGGUCCCCACAUUGGUACUGAGACACGGACCAAACUCC